rnacentral:rRNA from 1 species
AUACGUAGGGUGCAAGCGUUAAUCGGAAUUACUGGGCGUAAAGCGUGCGCAGGCGGUUUUGUAAGACAGAGGUGAAAUACCCGGGCUCAAACUGGGAACUGCCUUUGGGACUGCAAGGCUAGAGUACGGCAGAGGGGGAUGGAAUUCCGCGUGUAGCAGUGAAAUGCGUAGAUAUGCGGAGGAACACCGAUGGAGAAGGCAAUCCCCUGGGCCUGUACUGACUCUCAUGCACGAAAGCGUGGGGAGCAAACAGGAUUAGAUACCCUGGUAGUCCACGCCCUAAACGAUGUCAACUGGUUGUUGGGUCUUCAUUGACUCAGUAACGAAGCUAACGCGUGAAGUUGACCGCCUGGGGAGUACGGCCGCAAGGUUGAAACUCAAAUGAAUUGACGGGG